rnacentral:rRNA from 1 species
GAUGAACGCUAGCUACAGGCUUAACACAUGCAAGUCGAGGGGCAUCAGUUUGGUUUGCUUGCAAACCAAAGCUGGCGACCGGCGCACGGGUGAGUAGCACGUAUCCAACCUGCCUCAUACUCGGGGAUAGCCUUUCGAAAGAAAGAUUAAUAUCCGAUAGCAUAUAUUUCCCGCAUGGGUUUAUAUUAAAGAAAUUCGGUAUGAGAUGGGGAUGCGUUCCAUUAGUUUGGUUGGGGGACGGGUACCCGGACCCAACG